GGCAAGAUGGGACAGGGGGAGGGGGUAGAGAGAAGGGGGGAGGCGGUAAUCGGAAUUGCAGGGGGUAAGGUGUGCGUGGGCUGUUGGUGAAGUCUGUGGGGAGAUCCCCGUGCUGAACCUGGGAAUGGCGAUGGAUACUGGCGAGGUAGAGUGUGGUAGAGGAUGGUGGAAUUCCCGGUGUAGCGGUGAAAUGCGUAGAGAUCGGGAGGAACAUCAGUGGCGAAGGCGGCCAUCUGGGACAACACUGACGCUGAAGCACGAAAGCGUGGGGAGCAAACAGGAUUAGAUACCCUGUUAGUC
rnacentral:rRNA from 1 species